rnacentral:lncRNA from 1 species
CAGCAAAGAAAUGUAUGAAAAAGCAACCCCCUUGCCAUUAACCACCAAGAACUGUCAUAAUUGAUGGCCAAAAGUAGAUCAAACAUAACAAGCAUAAAGAUACAUAAUUCAGGUCCAAACAUAAACUAGAUUCAUAUAUUUUUCAAGAAAGCCGAUGGUGGAUUAAGUUCAGUGAACUAGAUGGCACCAAGUAAAAUUUCACUUGCUACAUGUUUUGGUGUUCACUACACAUUACACAAGAACUCCCCUGUUUCUAUAGUCUAGAACAUUAUGUCACAUGGUCAUGGUCAGUGGUUCGCAUGAUGAUAUAGUCAUCAAGUAAUUUUAGUUUGAUCAAAGGUGAUUUGCUUUUAGAUGGUCGAAGAUACCGGCAUAGCUGUUGACGUAGGAUCACUUAAUUUUUCUCAAAAAGAGAUGACGAUCACUUAAUCCAAUGACAAAACAUUGUGUACUCAAAGCGAGGUCGGGGCUAUCAUUUGCUCAUGAAGAUUUUGCCUGAAUUUUAUGCGAACAUAAGAAUGUAUUCUUGCACUCACCUCUUGCUCUUUCCUAAAAGAGAUGGGUAUGUUGGUUCCUUUGGCACAUUUAAUAUAAAUUAAAAGUGCUAUCAAGUAAAAACCUUCAUAAAGACUCUCUAAAAGAUUAAUAUAAUACAUUACAGUUUUGUUUUCGCUUUCCUUUCAUUGGAAUUUUGAAACAUUUUUCAUUGGUAAUUUCGGAAAGGAGAGGAUCUUUUUGGGCAAAUCUCGGGAGAAAGGAGGGCACCUUUUUUUACCUCAGCAAACAGGCGACUCGUACUCUUGGCGGAGCGCUUCCUCCCAUCGGCUUCGGCUCCCUCCUCUCCGCUGCUCCCAUCGACCAGGGGCCGGAAGGGGGAUAGGUGGGGAGUCGCAAAUGCGGAACACCGCACGUGAAGUUUGAACUAGAGCCGGCAAACCAAUUGCCGGGACUGGCGACGCGGGAAUUUUACAUGAAACUUCCUAGAUAAAUCAAACAAUACAAACUAGUCGUGCUUGAACUAGUCUCGGAAGAUGCAGCGCCGGUACCAGCUCAAACUUUGCAUGGAUUUUGCAUGAAACACCCUAGCGAAAUCGAAUGUAAUACGCUAGUAGUUUUAACUUGGAAUUAAACUAGUCCCGGUACACUGAUUGCCGGUACUAGCUCAAGUUUAGAUGAGAAGAUGCCCAAGUCAAAUAUUAUGAGUUGGUAAGUCAAAGUUGAACAGGUCCCGGUGUAUGGAUUGCCGGGAUUAGUCCAAACAAAAAGAUUAACGUUACACAGCAACUCUUCGUAUCCAACGGUGCUACGGGAAAGGGCUUGUAUGUAUAGAAUUACAAAGUGGUAGACUUGGUAUGAAAUUUCGUGGCCACACGUACCUAUGAACCUGUGUGGGAGCUUCCACUCUCGGCACCUUUGACAACUCCAAUCUUAAUUGAAUGCACCCCUUCUUGUUCUCUUCUUGAUGCAAGAAAAAGAACAACUGCAAGAACUAUAUUUUGCAUCCUCAGAGUGUUUUGUGAAGUUAAUGAAUUGAUAGAAAAAAUUCUAAUGAAAGGAAACGGCCCUAUAUACUUCCUUGCGCAUAGAUCAUUUUUGCCCCAUGCUAUUGAGUAUGAUAUUAAGUUGAUCCCAAAUGCUGUAAUUGCAGUCUUUGUACUCUCUUCUUGUAAGCUAAUCAUAUCUGUAAAAUUUCUCCCUUCUUUCAGUUUUCUUGUAUCCACUCUUUCUCCUAUACCAAUUCACCUUUCUAAUAUUUGUAUUGGAUUGACUUUGAACCUUUGUUUUCUGAAUUAUGUUGGUCAAGCUUUGCUCCCUCCAGUCAAAAAAAAAAAAGAAAAAGAAAAUCACAAAUACUAGACUCCUGGAUUCUUUUAUCAUGACUCACAUCUAUUAGGAGGUAACUAAUGCGGUGAGUCAGACUGCAUCUUAUAUAGCCAAUCAUACAAGAGUUACCUUUUGGGAUCCACCACACGUCUCUCCCUUCUUCUUUUUUUUGGUUAAAAUCUCUCCCUUCUUCUCUAAUGAAAAUUUUGUAUACUGAUUCUAGUGAAUGUAUUUAUAAUUUUAUAAUAAAAAUAGGAGCUGGCAUGUUGGAAGCUGCUCGAGAUGAUGCUCUUACUUCUUUUUUUUAAUAAUUUGUCAGUGCUUCAUCCUCAUUGAUGCUUAUUGUCACCUAAGAUAAUAUAACCCAAAAUUAUUAUUUUAUUUUUAUAUAUUAUUAUUAUUUUAUUAUUAUAUAUAUAUAUAUUAUUGUUAUUCUAAUUAUGCGAAAGCUAACUUAGCUACCCAUUUUCAUGAUUAAUCUUAAAGUUUUUAACCAUGGUUAAACUUAUAGCUCUGAUACCAUUGAAUGUCGCCCUGGAUCAGGAGUAUCAGAGAAGCCGGAGCAAGGAUUGUUGUAGUCCAUUCCUGGAGCACGGUAAGCCCUGAUCAUGUUACUUUUUCCCUAUUUUUCUUCUUUCUAGUUUCCGAAAUGAAAUAGAGGGGAGACUCCAUGGCUCUCGGCCGUGGCCGCAGCCGCUGCUGGCUCUCGGUGGGGGCUGCAGUCAAGCCAGAGUCCUGUCCCCUUCCUUCUCUUCAGUGGGGCAGGGUGCCUCAGUGCAAAGAAGAAGGGAGACGGAAAGAAAAGAAAGAAAGAAAGAAGGAAAGAAGGAAAGAAAGAAGAAAAGAGGAAGAGGGGACUCACGGUUCGUCGUCGCGUGUGGCGACCGCCGGCUUCGGCCGCGAAAGUCGCCGGCGUGGGCAUAUGCCGCAAACCGGCCGAGGACGCUAGCGUCGAGCGUCGGCCGCAGGCGCAGCCGAGGGCAUCACGGGCCCGUCCGUGGGCACCAUCGGCCGUGGCCCGGCCCCUCCCGAGUUCACACUUCUCUCUUCGCGGGAGAAGAAAGGGGGAAGGAAGAGAGGAGUCGGGAGAAG